GUCGGAAUGCCAGAGUGGUUAAUGGGUUAGACUUGAACCUCUAUUGUUCAGUUAUCUAAUGGCUUCGGCCGCGCAGGUUCGAUCCCUGUUUCCGACG
rnacentral:tRNA from 1 species